GCGCCCACAGCUCGGCUCGGCCUCCUCCUUCCCUUCCCUCCCCCCACCUUCAGCCACACCCGUCCGACCACCUGCCGGAUCCCGCGCCGCCACGCCUGCAUCGCUCUGGUCUUCUCCCACAACUCGCGCAUCGCAACGGGGCUCGCGCCCGCGCGGUCUCCUCCAUGACCUCUCUCCCUUGCGGCGGCGGCGGCACAAAUGACGCAUCCGACGGUGAGCUCCACAGGUCAACGCAUCCUCUCUUCUCUCCCAUGGAAGUCCCUCCCCUCUCACAUCUCUCUCUGUCUGCGAGCGGUGGCGGCCGGCUACGCGAGAGGUCGAUCUGGUCACGCCUUCCCACCAUCGACCGCGCCGCGUCGCUAUCGGAGGGGCACCCUGCCGCUGUCGGGGACUCGCCGUCAUUGAAGCCGCCGCUCUUCUGUCUCUCCCUGCUCGCCUCCCACAAUCUUCGUCCAAUAGGAGGUAUGCGUUCAAUACAUUAGCCGCGGCCGUCAGCCGUUCAGAGCCUCCCACGACGACAACAACGUCGGGCGGCCAAAGCCCAGCAUCAACGCCCAUUCCUUUUUUGCGUGUGCACUCUCCUCCAUUGCAUCCCCCUUCUCCAGCGCGCAUGGCGAAACCGUUGGAUUGAUGGCGUGCGUCUCUGCAUGUGCGUGCGAGUGGGCAUACGUGAUCUGUUCAUGGCGGGCAUGCGAGUGUGCUGUGUUGGGCGUGUUUGUCCCGUGGAUGCCCUGUGCACCUGCAGGAUCCAGACGGCUGUCUGUCGCCGAGCUCCGCCAUCCUGCUUCGUAGGACUGACCCAGACGACCUGAUAGAGCAGCAGAUCGAAGGCCAUGAAGAUGGAGCCUGGAGCCAAGUAGCAGCUUUCCAGUUUAAGCUAGCUGACGUAGAUGGAUAACGCUGUCGCCGCUAAUCAAGAGCGCGGGGGGUGGCCAGGCGUGGCUGGGUGGUGACCUCGUGCAGAUCGCAAUCUGCUGAUUGGAAAAGGAGGUGCGUGUGUGCUGUGUUCAGGUACUGCAUGCCUGCAGCCGAUCCAUUUAUGAGAAUUGUAACUUUCUUUUCAGUUUCCUCACAGCAAUCUUAUUCUUUGCAAGGAAUUUGAACUCUAUUUCAACGUGAUCAACAUCCCAUUGUGAUGCACCAUCAGAUUGUUACCCUUGUUUUGGAGAAAGUUUGAUAUGAUUUUUCAUGGAAGGAUUCGCCUGUAUUAAAUGUCUUACUGAAUAUAGCAUUGGUUGCUUGAUUAGCAUUACUUCUUGAAGGACAAAACUAUUGAUUCUUUUUGGCUGCAGCAAAAAGUUUUGGAUGCAGAGCUGGGUGGUUUCUUCAUAGUACUAAGGAGCCAGUAAAAAAACAUGAGAAUUCGUCACCUAUCUUAGCCAUCGCAACCUCCUGAACAAGGUUUGCGAGCAUCUAGCUUAAUCCUUGUGAAUGGUUGGUAGCAGAUCUAUCUUACAAGCAGAAAACAUCUACUUUGUAUUUUAGUUUUCUGAAUUACAUUCAUCCCUAGCUGCACUUACAGGUAAAAAACAUCCACAUACUUCAGUUUUCACAGCCAGCAGACCUAGACAAAAAUAGAAGUGUAUGAGCAUGUAGUGUAUAAUUGGGGAGAUUAGGGGAAUGUAUUGACAAGUGACAAUCGUAUUUCCUUGCGUCCUCGAUGCUGCUUCCUUAGCUCACAUAGUAGUUCUUUUAAUACGUACCGUACUCGAUUUGAUUGGCAGGCUUCAGGUAAUUUGUGUUUGUGUGGUAACAUCAGCGGACCUGUACUGCUACGAAUUACAUCACAGACUAUGUGCUACUUAAUUAAUUGUAAUUUCUUUGUUCAGUUAGUUCUCUGGAAAAAAACCACUUCUUCUCCCGAUGUAUAUGUUCCUUUUGCAAAUUCCCGAUGUAUAUGUUUAAUACUAAUCUUCCAAAGAUUGUUGUAAGAAAUAACUAUAUUUACUAUCUUAUCUCAUCAGUGGGCUAAUUCUAUAAUAAAAGAACUAAUAAGGAGAUUUCUUAGCAGUACUGAAUAUGUUUGGAGCAGUGAGAUAAUUUUAUCCUAUAUGACUUUCUUUCUCUUGCCUUUCCUGAUUUCGUUUUCCCCUCCAUUUUUUUCAGGUUCCAAAGUUUGGCCGCAGCUAGCUUGAUUUGGAGACAUUUCCUAUUUUGGCAUAAAUGUUUCAUCAUACUAGGAUUUAAUUGGUGAUCUUACUUCUGUUGCCUUUUGGUGACUAUGAAACAUAUUGCAUUUUCAUGGAAGCAGGAGCCGGGUAGUUGUUGAGCGGGUUGUGGGAGAGGCGGUCGGCGAGCGCGGGCUAGAUGGGAAGGUGAUGCUUGCGAUGGCGACCAUGCCGGCGGGCAGGGCAAGGUCGAUUGUGUCCAUCAUGGUGUUUCCGAGGGAGAGCGAGGCAUCUGCCAUCGCGCAUCUGAAGAAGUCGAUGCUCGGGGCGAGGUUGACCACCGUGGCCGGCGUGAAAGCAGACGGACUUAAAGGCCGGUGAUAGGUUUGCCGUCGUCGCACCGUCUCUCAACUUGGUGGAGAGGCGAAAGGAGAGCGGUGGCAGCAUGAAGACCUCGACGCCUACUGCUGUGACCACGACCAGGCCAUUGUGUUUGUAAUAAAGAUACUAAUUGUAUACAUAUCCCCCAGCUUCAAAAACAUUAGAUAAAUAUCCAACUUAUUAUUGAAAAAUCUUGAUUCAAGAUAAAUGGAACCUUUCCUAUAUACAAUGAGCUUAUUAUUUGAA